GCCUCGGUAGCGCAGUAGGCAGCGCGUCAGUCUCAUAAUCUAAAGGUCGUGAGUUCGAACCUCACCCGGGGCA
rnacentral:tRNA from 1 species